AGACUGCUCUGAUAUGUGCUGCAGAAUGGUGAAGGAGAGAUCUCACAAAUGGGAUUGGAUGAUGCCACUCUGCAGUACAUUUUAGCAGAGCAGUCUUUGACAAUGCUCUGUCUCUGUCAUGUGCAGUUAAUUUCUAGCUCUGACUUAGAGCAUAUAUCUGGAAGCAGCAUCUGCUACUGUUGAAUAGUUCGAACAAAGAAGACUUAGAACCCUGCACCUAUAUAUAAUUUUUCUAUGAAUCCAAGAAACGCACGCACAUAUCAAAAUUGUAAAAAGAGAUCCAAAGGUAGUAAAAAAUGCUUCGCUCUGUAA